UGGGGAAUAUUGCACAAUGGAGGGAACUCUGAUGCAGCGACGCCGCGUGAACGAAGAAGGCUUUCGUGUCGUAAAGUUCUUUUAUAUGGGAAGAUAAUGACGGUACCAUAAGAAGAAGCCCCGGCUAACUACGUGCCAGCAGCCGCGGUAAUACGUAGGGGGCUAGCGUUGUCCGGAAUCACUGGGCGUAAAGGGUUCGCAGGCGGAAAUGCAAGUCAGGUGUAAAAGGCAGUAGCUUAACUACUGUAAGCAUUUGAAACUGCAUAUCUUGAGAAGAGUAGAGGUAAGUGGAAUUUUUAGUGUAGCGGUGAAAUGCGUAGAUAUUAAAAAGAAUACCGGUGGCGAAGGCGACGUACUGGGCUCAUUCUGACGCUGAGGAACGAAAGCGUGGGUAGCAAACAGG
rnacentral:rRNA from 1 species